UAGAUUGAGACCAGUCUUGUUCUCAAAGGGCUUGCCAUCUGGCUGGAAGGAGAAGAAAGAUUGGCCUGCAAGCUUCACAGGUGCUGUAAGAAUAAUGUCAUGACCUGCACAGUAAUCACACUAGUGGGAGAUUAAACAAUGGGUACCUGGUAUGUGGAUAGCCCUUAGGAACCAUGUAGGGAGUGACGAAGAGAUCAGAAGAUAUGGGCACCACCUUUUACAGAAGGAAAACACAACAGACUGCUGUGUGUUUCAGAUUAAUACAGAGGCACAUGCAAUUUUCCAUCAGCAACUGAGGAGAAACACACAUGUGUCCUGAGGAAUUGGGGAAUGAUAAGAGCUCAAGCCAGGGGUUCAAAAGGAAUGACUACCUCACAGGGGUCUGAGUGCUAGUGCUGCUGGAGCCAAAUGAGAGCAGUGAGAAUGCUCUCGAUCUCUGUCAGAUCAACCACUUGGUAAGAAGAUGGGUUUUAUAUGAGCCUCUCAUGAAGGAAGACAUCUAUUAUGGAAAGGGAGAUUUCCAGUUUGGGCCACUUAAAAACUCAACAAA
rnacentral:lncRNA from 1 species